AGUAAGGAAUAUUGGUCAAUGGAGGGAACUCUGAACCAGCCAUGCCGCGUGCAGGAAGACAGCCCUCUGGGUCGUAAACUGCUUUUAUUCGGGAAUAAACCUUGUUACGUGUAGCAAGCUGAAUGUACCGAAGGAAUAAGGAUCGGCUAACUCCGUGCCAGCAGCCGCGGUAAUACGGAGGAUCCAAGCGUUAUCCGGAUUUAUUGGGUUUAAAGGGUGCGUAGGCGGCUUAUUAAGUCAGGGGUGAAAGACGGUGGCUCAACCAUCGCAGUGCCCUUGAUACUGAUGAGCUUGAAUGGACUAGAGGUAGGCGGAAUGUGACAAGUAGCGGUGAAAUGCAUAGAUAUGUCACAGAACACCGAUUGCGAAGGCAGCUUACUAUGGUUUAAUUGACGCUGAGGCACGAAAGCGUGGGGAUCAAA
rnacentral:rRNA from 1 species